GAAAGGCCUACUCUGCUUGAUUAUUUACACUUUAUAGUGAUCAAAUGUUCUAAAUACCCUCACAAGAUACACCUCUGCUAAACCUUUUACUUACAGACUUUGCAAUUCCUACUUUAUAUAGUGUUACAAGAUACAUGAAAAAAUAUUGUGCUUGUCAUUUUCUAUAUUAUUCGAUAUAGUUUAAUACCUAUUUGAGGGCUGUUUCCAAGUCUCAUUCAUUUCUAACUCAGACCUGUCAGUCAGUUUUUGAAUUCCUCAUCAACGUUUACCCAACUAAAAUGUGAAUUUCAUCCUUAGUAGAAUUUCA